rnacentral:rRNA from 1 species
GACGAACGCUGGCGGCGCGCCUAACACAUGCAAGUCGAACGGAGCUGAGAGGAGCUUGCUUUUCUUAGCUUAGUGGCGAACGGGUGAGUAACGCGUGAGUAACCUGCCCUGGAGUGGGGGACAACAGUUGGAAACGACUGCUAAUACCGCAUAAGCCCACGGAUUCGCAUGGAUCUGCGGGAAAAGGAUUUAUUCGCUUCAGGAUGGACUCGCGUCCAAUUAGCUAGUUGGUGAGGUAACGGCCCACCAAGGCGACGAUUGGUAGCCGGACUGAGAGGUUGAACGGCCACAUUGGGACUGAGACACGGCCCAGACUCCUACGGGAGGCAGCAGUGGGGGAUAUUGCACAAUGGGGGAAACCCUGAUGCAGCGACGCCGCGUGGAGGAAGAAGGUCUUCGGAUUGUAAACUCCUGUUGUUGAGGAAGAUAAUGACGGUACUCAACAAGGAAGUGACGGCUAACUACGUG